UUCUCGGUUCAGAUUCAAAAAAGAGACUCUGUCAGUGAUGGGCGUGUCCGUUGAGUAGAUCUAACCAAUCACGUGUCCCUUCACAGCCCGAACUAGGAUGCUAUUUGCUGAUGUGAUUUCCCGGAGACGUAGCAGUUCACUGAACAAGAACGAUUCGGUUGCCUGAAAGAUUCAUUCAAAAAGAACGAUUCGUUCACGAGCGGAAGGUCGCUAGUGCCCUUGCAUGCUUCAAGGAAGACCAAAAUUAUAUAUAAACACUGUUAAACGAUAAUACAACAUGUUAUUUGAUGGUCUGAAGUGGUAUAAGCGCACAGCAUUAAUUUAUGCAAUCGGAACUUGGACUUUGCUUGGUUCUUGUGCAUAUUACACAUUUUUCCACUGCGAUGAACGAGUCAUUAUACCUAAAGACGAAGAGGGGAUCGAGGAGGAUGCAAAACCAAAUGUGAGAAUAAUUAAAUCUUCUCACAUGUCAGCAAAAAUUACCUACAAAGAAGAUUUUGUCCCAUAUUCUACAAGAUUUUUAAAACUUUUCAGUCCCAGAGCUGAUGACACUUCAGAACGUCAAAAUGAUGAAAAAUAAGUCAUUUUAAAUUGCACUACUAUGCAAUGUAUUUUCUUGCUUGGUCGAUGGAAAGUUUUUCAUAAAUGUACUUUAUAAUAAAUGAAAAAAAUUA